GGCACUGACUGCUUAUUGCACCACAUGUGUUUUUCUUUGAAACAAACUUGCUUUGGCGGUGGGCCCAGCCUGCCGCCAGAGGUCUAAACUUGCAACCAAUUUUUUAUCAACUUGUCACACCAGAUUAUUACUAAUAGUCAAAACUUUCAACAACGGAUCUCUUGGUUCUCGCAUCGAUGAAGAACGCAGCGAAAUGCGAUACGUAAUAUGAAUUGCAGAUAUUCGUGAAUCAUCGAAUUUUUGAACGCACAUUGCGCCCUCUGGUAUUCCGGAGGGCAUGCCUGUUUGAGCGUCGUUUCUCCCUCAAACCGCUGGGUUUGGUGUUGAGCAAUACGACUUGGGUUUGCUUGAAAGACGGUAGUGGUAAGGCGGGAUCGCUUUGACAAUGGCUUAGGUCUAACCAAAAACAUUGCUUGCGGCGGUAACGUCUACCACGUAUAUCUUCAAACUUUGACCUCAAAUCAGGUAGGACUACCCGCUGAACUUAAGCAUAUCAAAAGCCGGAGGAA
rnacentral:rRNA from 1 species